rnacentral:rRNA from 1 species
AACGAACGCUGGCGGCAGGCCUAACACAUGCAAGUCGAGCGAGGACUUCGGUUCUAGCGGCGGACGGGUGAGUAACGCGUGGGAAUGUGCCCUUCUCUACGGAAUAGCCCUGGGAAACUGGGAGUAAUACCGUAUACGCCCUAUUGGGGAAAGAUUUAUCGGAGAAGGAUCAGCCCGCGUUGGAUUAGGUAGUUGGUGGGGUAAUGGCCUACCAGGCCGACGAUCCAUAGCUGGUUUGAGAGGAUGAUCAGCCACACUGGGACUGAGACACGGCCCAGACUCCUACGGGAGGCAGCAGUGGGGAAUCUUAGACAAUGGGGGCAACCCUGAUCUAGCCAUGCCGCGUGAGUGAUGAAGGCCUUAGGGUUGUAAAGCUCUUUCAGCUGGGAAGAUAAUGACGGUACCAGCAGAAGAAGCCCCGGCUAACUCCGUG